ACAGCAACAUUUUCUAUUGAAGACUGAAGUGAAAGGAAUUGACAUCGUGAUGCAUAGAGGCCCUCUCUUCAAAAAUCUUCCUCUUGCCUUUCAUUUCCUUAUUGUCCCUGUUUGAGCUGCUUGACAGCUAUAAAAGCAAAUGAUCUAAACUUACAGUCUGCAAUAAGAUACUGAGUAGUUUCAUAUGGGUAUGGAUCACAACAGUUAUUGGAGCCCUGCAUGUUUUGGAGGCAUGGAAGCAAGUGGACUGUGACGGCUGACAUGCACUUCUCAUUUGCUGCAGCUUUGGACUGGACCAUGCUGGUGAUCACAUGUGGAGGAUCAGCCUUUCUUAUGAAUAACUAGAUUGCAACCAUGGCUGAAGGCAGGCAUAGUAGGGAUGGAGGACUGCCCAACAGCACAGCCACACUCCCUUCCUGAAUAAAAGGAAAUCUAAGCCUUUGUGUGAGGACACAGAGGCCAGAGGGGAUGGGGAAAGGUGUGACACAGAUGGAGCUCCGCUCUAACACAUGGACUUUGUGGAUGACUUGGGAUCUUAUUUCUCUAGGUUCAAUCUUGCCUCCUGCACUGUUGAGAGGACCUACUUUUCAGAUCCUCUAUGCAGUAAUUUAUUUUGAAGUACAGAAAUAAAAAGUGCU